rnacentral:rRNA from 1 species
CAUAUUCUCUGAGGAGGAAAGCAGGGGAUCGAAAGACCUUGCGCUUUGGGAGCGGCCGAUGUCUGAUUAGCUAGUUGGUGGGGUAAAGGCCUACCAAAGCUUCGAUCAGUAGCUGGUCUGAGAGGACGGCCAGCCACACUGGGACUGAGACACGGCCCAGACUCCUACGGGAGGCAGCAGUGGGGAAUUUUGGACAAUGGGCGCAAGCCUGAUCCAGCAAUGCCGCGUGAGUGAAGAAGGCCUUCGGGUUGUAAAGCUCUUUCAGUCGAGAAGAAAAAGCUGCAGUGAAUAACUGUAGUUCAU